rnacentral:snoRNA from 1 species
GUAAAGAAAGUCUCCAUAAAACCCAGAGAAGAGAUUUUUAGAACUCCUCUCUGGGUCCUGUCUUGUGUCACAACU